rnacentral:tmRNA from 1 species
GGGGGCGAAUGGUUUUUGACAGCCAGAGCAAGUAGUACGUGGCAUGCAAGGUCGCCAUUCCUUCAAAAUGGCAUUCUAAAAAAAGUGCCACGGAUUCGUACGCGUAUAGAAUGGCUGCCUAAUAGCAGCCAAGUUUCUGAUGCGUUUGUCUGGUAGCGCACAGAAACUAUCAGGUAUACCAGACUAUGGCGUACGUUGUCGGGUUCGUACGUCUGAAUGUAAAUACCCGACUUGGGUGUCGUAAUGUGCGAUAGCGGACAUUCGACACCGACAAAAACCGCUAUCUAAGCAUGUAGAAGCGUACUAUGUAUGCUGGCUGGACGUGGGUUCGAUUCCCACCGCCUCCACAA